rnacentral:pre_miRNA from 1 species
AGAACAUUCGGAUCGUCGGUCUAACAAGCAAUAUCACCCGCUGCGUGGAAGAUCUUCUCUUGGUCAU